rnacentral:rRNA from 1 species
AUUGAACGCUGGCGGCAGGCCUAACACAUGCAAGUCGAGCGAGCGGCGGACGGGUGAGUAAUGUCUGGGAAACUGCCUGAUGGAGGGGGAUAACUACUGGAAACGGUAGCUAAUACCGCAUACCAUCAGAUGUGCCCAGAUGGGAUUAGCUAGUAGGUGGGGUAACGGCUCACCUAGGCGACGAUCCCUAGCUGGUCUGAGAGGAUGGCCAGCCACACUGGAACGGAGCCACGAGCCGGCCUCCUGCGGUAGGCAGCAGUGGGGAAUAUUGCACAAUGGGCGCAGUCCUGAUGCAACCGUGCCGCGUGUGUGAAGAAGGCCUUCGGGUUGUAAAGCACUUUCAGCGGGGAGGCGUUACCCGCAUAAGAAGCACCGGCUAACUCCGUGCCAGCAGCCGCGGUAAUAC